rnacentral:misc_RNA from 1 species
GAAGUGCGAAAAGUGUCAUGACUUGCAGAUUCCCGAGAGCUGACGAAUUUCUGAAUGCGAAAGGCGGCCGUCCACAACGGCCAUGUAUUGCAGAGUGUAGUUGUUCAUACACACCAUCCGCUUUUCUUGACUUGUCUUGAGAAGCAAGGGAUCUGCGCUUGCUGCCGACAGCGAGCGUGAAAGUACGAGCGAAACUACCGCUUACAAGGGACUCCUCUAGGGCAGUGAGGGAGCAAUCUCUCACGCACUAGAGAAGGACUUCGGACCCAUCAUAGUCUAGAAGGACUUGAAGAGCGGAGCUCGGGGUGAGGUAACACUCACAACUUUCUAAGCAGCCACCUCUGCGAUGCAGGAAAACCCGCUGAACUUAA